rnacentral:rRNA from 1 species
GAUGAACGCUGGCGGCGUGCCUAAUACAUGCAAGUCGAGCGAAUGGAUUAAGAGCUUGCUCUUAUGAAGUUAGCGGCGGACGGGUGAGUAACACGUGGGUAACCUGCCCAUAAGACUGGGAUAACUCCGGGAAACGGGGGCUAAUACCGGAUAACAUUUUGAACCGCGUGGUUCGAAAUUGAAUGGCGGCUGCGGCUGUCACUUAUGGUUGGACCGGCGUCGCAUUAGCUAGUUGGUGAGGUAACGGCUCACCAAGGCAACGAUGCGUAGCCGACCUGAGAGGGUGAUCGGCCACACUGGGACUGAGACACGGCCCAGACUCCUACGGGAGGCAGCAGUAGGGAAUCUUCCGCAAUGGACGAAAGUCUGACGGAGCAACGCCGCGUGAGUGAUGAAGGCUUUCGGGUCGUAAAACUCUGUUGUUAGGGAAGAACAAGUGCUAGUUGAAUAAGCUGGCACCUUGACGGUACCUAACCAGAAAGCCACGGCUAACUACGUGCCAGCCGCCGCCGUAA